rnacentral:rRNA from 1 species
GAUGAACGCUGGCGGCGUGCCUAAUACAUGCAAGUCGAGCGAACGGACGAUAAUCUUGCUUCUCUGAUGUUAGGGGCGGACGAGUGAGUAACGCGUGGAUAACCUACCUAUAAGACUUGGAUCACUUCGGGAAACCGGAGCUAAUACCGGGUAAUAUUUUGAGACGCAUGGUUCAAAAGUUAAAUACGGUCUUGCUGUCACUUAUAGAUGGAUCCGCGCUGCAUUAGCUAGUUGUUAAGGUAACGGCUUACCAAGGCAACGAUGCAUAGCCGAACUGAGAAGGGGAUGGGCCCCACUGAAACUGAGCCACGCUCCAGACCCCGACGGGAGGCAGCAGUAGCAAGUCUUCGGAAAUGGGCGAAAGACUGACGGAGCAACGCCGCGUGAGUGAUGAGGGGCUUCGGAUCGUAAAACUCUGUUAUUGGGGAAGAACAUAUGUGUAAGUAACGGUGCACAUCUUGACGGUACCUAAUCAGAAAGCCCCGGCUAACUACGUG